ACGAACGGAACUGGCGCUCGGCGUUGCAUUGCGCCGUUAGCCGACUGUGCUAACUGUUAAACGUCAAAACCAGCAGCAUUUCAGUGUUCUGUAGAAGUAUGUACCGUUAUGUUUACUUUUUAUAAUGUUGCUAAACCAGCUAAUUUACGCGUAUAUUACAGUAAGGACUUAAGAACGAGGAUAAACCGCUUCUAACGUUUAGCUAAUUUUAUUGUGGCGGAUGAUUUCGUGUCCCUGUGUCUUUUGAACGGAUGAAUGGACUAGUUGUUAUUGUCUAGGAUCUCGGUUUGUGUAGCCAGAUGUUCCGUGUCUUCUUAAGCCAGUUAGCUAGUAAUGCUAAGCUAAGCUAGGUUCUCAUUCAUGGCCUUCGGGCUGACAUUCUAUUCUAAUGGAAUUCUAUUCUCCGUUCAAUUCUAUAUUCAAGGUAGCAAAACAAAAUCAACUAUUUAUCUUUUAAAAGGAAAAUACUGAAAUACAAAGUGAAAUGAAAUAAAAAAAAUUUCAAUGGAUAUUUUUCCGACCAGAAAUCAGUGUACACUCUUUAUGGAACGGUAUAUAGUUGUUUUUGGUUUAGAUUCAACUGGUGAGGCUGAUGAUGAUAACAGGGUUAAAUCAGCCCCGAGCUGCUGUGCCACAUCGGUCGAUAUUUAAAUGGAGACUCGAAUAGUCUAAACUGAUCCUUUAUCCUAGAAGCACGUUUCAGUGGGACUUUUGCAAUAGUGCCUUUGAGUUUGUUGUAGGAAUUGUUGUUGUGUAACUAACUGUGAGAAAUGUGGACCCUGAGCUAAUCAGUCAGGCUCAUGAUUUUAUUAGCCAGUAUGUGUAUAACCUGUUCAGUGUUGUCAAUGGUUUGUUCUGAGGAAAGUAGCUGAAUCAUGAUCAAAACGUCAUUAGAAGAUUUUUUUUAAUCUAUCUACCUAUUUAUUUACUUUUUUUUUUCAUUCUUAUUUUAUAUUUAUUUAACAUGAUCCCUGGCAUUUCAAAUUACAGUCAAUGAUUGGGUGCAGACGCAGCCUAGUAUUGCAUUAUAUCUAAUAGUAAGUCAAGCAAAUCUGUUCUUUCAACUAGUUUAUCAGCAGUUGUGAUGUGAGCCUUGAAAAGUUCAAUGCGGUCACUAACACAUGCUCAAAAAGUUGCAAGAACUGUUACUAGGCUUUCAGCUUCCCAUUUCUACACCUUUGUAGCAUUGUUGCUUCAUCUGUGUGGAAAGGGAUGUGUGAAUGUGUUCAGUUGUCACUUUCUCAGCUGUGUACAAACGCUGCUUUGAGACAAUGUGAAUUGUUGAAAGCGCUAUACCAAUAAAUUGAAUUGUACUCUGCGAUGCUUUUCUGGUCACUGUAAAUAUACAAUUGAAGCAGGUAUUUUGGGGGUGGCCCCUGGUGUACAGUGCUUAGUACCUAAUAGAAGUGGACCAAGGCUCACUGAUGUGUGUGGGUAGUGAAGACUUGCGAGUUGAGACCAAGCCCAGAGGAGAGCUACUAUAGCACAAAUAGAGGUCAUGCUGGCUAUGAUAGAAGGGGGACAGAGAUUCCAUACUGAUCAUUAUCUACUGUUGAAAAUACCUACAAUGACAUGUGCACUUCAGAACUGGAAGAAGAUGGUUAGGUCUGAUGAUUCCAUCUGUGUGCAUAUGUACAAAAGUUAUAAGUUUACUUUUUGUAUUUUCUUUCUCCUAUGUAUAUCUUAAGAGAGUUUGGAGGCAAAGACAGUAGUUCAUGCAAAGAGUAAGGUGUGAAAGUCUGACCUAUUUACACCAGAGAAUUGCUAUUCAUAGAUGAUUGCGUAUGGGUGAAGGGUAUUUCUAGCCAUCUAAAAGUACUAAAACUUUUGACUCUUUCAUCUUUUAUCACACCUUGUGCUUUUAAUAAAAAAUAUAUAUUUAAUCUGAGUUUAAACUGCCUGUCAUUACUUUUACUGUCAGAAUGAUGGGACAUGGUGACCUUUGUUGAUAUUUACAUUUACAGCAUUUGGCAGAAGCCCUUAUCCAGAGCGACAUACAUAAGUGCUUAAAUCUCUCUCAUUGAAUACAUUAAUGCUGGCUCACUAGGUUACAUAAUUAAGAUACCAUGAGUUUAAAACAUUGUUCAAAGUUACAAUGAAAAAGUUUAAAAAAAUUUUAUAAAUGCAGAAGAUAGAGAAAGACGUGCUAGUUGAAGUGUUUCCUGAAUAAGUAGGUUUUCAACCACCUUGUGAAGAUAGCCAGUGACAAUAGCCAGUGAUAUGUACACUACAGUGUGUGUGUGAGAGAGCAAGAGAUUUAGAGACAGGUCAAGGUCAGUAGCCAUUUUUGUCUUUAUUUGACAUUUGAUUUUAAGUGCAUGCAUGAAUGGGAAUUACAAAUAUAUGUUUAAAAAAGGUACAAAAUAUGAGUGGUUUUUCCCCAGACUGUUGCCACAAAGUCGAAAGCACCAAAUUCUAUAAGAUCUGACUGCAGCAUUACAAAGUUCCGUCAUGGAGCCCAAACCUGUACCAGCAUAACAGUACUUCUUGCAAAAAGAAAGCUCCAUGAUCCAUGUGUUUAUACACAGCAGAGGCUGCAGCUGCUUUCAUGUUUGGAUAAUUGAAAGCUGCAACUAUCCAGAGAGAGAGAUUGUAACCCUCAAAAUUGUACUGCUGUAACAUCUGCUUCUCCAGGCAGAGGACAGGGGACUGCAUGUAAUCUGCUACUGUUAUAAAUGCCUUGCAUUGUUUCCUCUG